AUUAACGCUAGCGGCAGGCAUAAUACAUGCAAGUUGAACGGCAGCACAGGUAGCAAUACCGGGUGGCGAGUGGCGCACGGGUGCGUAACACGUAUGCAACCUACCCUAUACAGGCGAAUAACCUUUAGAAAUGAGGGCUAAUACGCCGUAGUAUUAUCUUGGGGCAUCUUGAGAUAAUUAAAGAUUCAUCGGUAUAGGAUGGGCAUGCGUCCCAUUAGUUAGUUGGUAGGGUAACGGCCUACCAAGGCUAUGAUGGGUAGGGG
rnacentral:rRNA from 1 species